CCCUUAGAUGUUCUGGGCCGCACGCGCGCUAUACUGAUGCAUUCAACGAGUUCUUCCUGGUCCGAGAGGAAUGGGUAACCUUUUGAAAGUGCAUCGUGCUAGGGAUAGACUAUUGCAAUUAUUGGUCUUCAACGAGGAAUUCCUAGUAGACGUAGUUCAUCAGACUGCAUCGAUUACGUCCCUGCCCUUUGUACACACCGCCCGUCGCUCCUACCGAUUGAGUGGUCCGGUGAGGCUUUGGGAUCUGAGCGGAAAGAGCGUUUCGCUGUUUCUGCUCGGAAAACUCAGUCGAACCUUAUCAUUUAGAGGAAGGAGAAGUCGUAACA
rnacentral:rRNA from 1 species